GAUGAAGAACGUAGCGAAAUGCGAUAAGUAAUGUGAAUUGCAGAAUUCAGUGAAUCAUCGAAUCUUUGAACGCACAUUGCGCCCGCCAGUAUUCUGGCGGGCAUGCCUGUUCGAGCGUCAUUUCAACCCUCAAGCCCCCGGGCUUGGUGUUGGGGAUCGGCGUGCCCUCGCGGCGCGCCGUCCCCUAAAUCUAGUGGCGGUCUCGCUGUAGCUUCCUCUGCGUAGUAGCAACACUCGCACUGGAUCGCAGCGCGGCCACGCCGUUAACCCCCCCACUUCUGAAAGUUUGACCUCGGAUCAGGUAGGAAUACCCGCUGAACUUAAGCAUAUCAAUAAGCGGAGGA
rnacentral:misc_RNA from 1 species